AUUGAACGCUGGCGGCAUGCUUUACACAUGCAAGUCGAACGGCAGCGCGGGGCAACCUGGCGGCGAGUGGCGAACGGGUGAGUAAUAUAUCGGAACGUACCCAGAAGUGGGGGAUAACGUAGCGAAAGUUACGCUAAUACCGCAUACGAUCUACGGAUGAAAGUGGGGGACCUUCGGGCCUCAUGCUUUUGGAGCGGCCGAUAUCUGAUUAGCUAGUUGGUGAGGUAAAGGCUCACCAAGGCGACGAUCAGUAGCUGGUCUGAGAGGACGACCAGCCACACUGGGACUGAGACACGGCCCAGACUCCUACGGGAGGCAGCAGUGGGGAAUUUUGGACAAUGGGGGCAACCCUGAUCCAGCAAUGCCGCGUGAGUGAAGAAGGCC
rnacentral:rRNA from 1 species